GGCCUACUUUACUUAAACUAGACUAAGGCUCGUGGUAAAACGCAAAACAGUAACUACAACGAGAAAGGUUGCGGGUGCGCUCGCGAUCACACACAACUCACACAAUGUCGAGUCUUUCUCGAUUCUCGGACGACGCGGACCUUUCUAAUCGGUUGGCCUGUAUUUUCGAUCGUUCGAAGCGAGGUAUUAUCCUCGUUACUUCUCAAAGGAGGCGCGACGGUGUCAACCUUCGGACCAAACGCAUCGUAAUACUCACUCACAUAAAAAGAAAAAAAUUUACUAACACCGGGCAAAAAAUGAAGAGAUAUGUUUCAUUCGAAAAUAAACAAAACGUGUUCGAGAUAAGUAUUUA